rnacentral:rRNA from 1 species
GAUGAACGCUGGCGGCAGGCUUAACACAUGCAAGUCGAGCGAGCGGCGGACGGGUGAGUAAUGUCUGGGAAACUGCCUGAUGGAGGGGGAUAACUACUGGAAACGGUAGCUAAUACCGCAUACUAUCAGAUGUGCCCAGAUGGGAUUAGCUAGUAGGUGGGGUAAUGGCUCACCUAGGCGACGAUCCCUAGCUGGUCUGAGAGGAUGACCAGCCACACGGGGAAUGAGAACAGGGCCAGACGCCUACGGGAGGCGGCAGUGGGGAAUAUUGCACAAGGGGGGCAAGCCUGAUGCAGACAUGCCGCGUGUGUGAAGAAGGCCUUCGGGUUGUAAAGCACUUUCAGCGGGGAGGCGGUACUCGCAGAAGAAGCACCGGCUAACUACGUGCCAGCAGCCGCGGUAAUUC